rnacentral:rRNA from 1 species
AUUGAACGCUGGCGGCAGGCUUAACACAUGCAAGUCGAGCGGAGCGAGGGUGCUUGCACCUUAGCUUAGCGGCGGACGGGUGAGUAAUGCUUAGGAAUCUGCCUAUUAGUGGGGGACAACAUUCCGAAAGGGAUGCUAAUACCGCAUACGCCCUACGGGGGAAAGCAGGGGAUCUUCGGACCUUGCGCUAAUAGAUGAGCCUAAGUCGGAUUAGCUAGUUGGUGGGGUAAAGGCCUACCAAGGCGACGAUCUGUAGCGGGUCUGAGAGGAUGGUCCGCCACACUGGGACUGAGACACGGCCCAGACUCCUACGGGAGGCAGCAGUGGGGAAUAUUGGACAAUGGGGGGAACCCUGAUCUAGCCAUGCCGCGUGUGUGAAGAAGGCCUUUUGGUUGUAAAGCACUUUAAGCGAGGAGGAGGCGCUCUAGGAUAAUACCCUAGAUGCGUGGACGUUACUCGCAGAAUAAGCACCGGCUAACUCUGUGCCAGCCGCCGCGGUAACAC